rnacentral:tRNA from 1 species
GGCAGGAUGACUUAGUGGAGAGGGUGUGGCAUAGGGAGUCAGGAGACCUAGGUUUGAAUCCUAGCUCUGCUA